UCAUAUCAUCUCAUGAAAAGAAACGAGCCAAGAAACAAUCCAAGAACCGCGACUAUCUUCCGUCGUUGAACAGUCGUUCGAGAAAUGGAAGGGAUCCCGCGCAAGGUGCACAUACAGCAGGUGGCUAUACCAUCUUGGAAAGGGUGAGAGUUCACUGUUCAGUCUUGCGCCGAGCCAUUGUAAGAGCAACGAACCGGCCAACCGGGGGCAAAGACGGCAGGCGCCUACUCGCUGCCACGAUCUCACCAAUCAUUUGCGCAUUCAACCAGCUACACCACCAACCCCAGUGGUUCUCCUUCCUCAUCACCGACCUAAUUCGGCCACCGGCGGAUCCACCCCGAUAUUAUUAUUUCGAGGGUGUCGCUCGAACGCUUCGGGGGGAACGUAUUCACAAGCUUUUUCUCUCGUCAGACGUUUCUUUCCUUCCGAGAUGAAUUUAAGAAUCGAAUUACGCCUUUGGAUAUGCUUUCGUUGUCGAUUGCUCGUGUGUAAAAAGGGUGUUUUAUUUGUCGGGGAUUGGAUAUAGAAGGGAGAUUUUUUAAUUGACAGAGAGUGAAAAGAAAAUGCUAUCUAAUUAAAAGAUAUACUGUAGUUCCAUAAUUGCAAAUGAAUGGUGGAAAGAUUGAUAUAGAUUCUUGAAAAUAUUUUUAAUACAAUUUAUGUAUAUUAUAUAUUAUGCAUUAUUUAUGUAACUUUGUUAUUAUGAUGUUUUAUUCCAUUAUACAUGUGGUUCAGUACGGGUUUAUGAAUAUUUAAGCAUGAAAUUAUUAGGUAAUGUUAAUACGUUGACACCUGUGAAACUAAUUACCAACAUUAUGGAUUAAUUACUACAUAAUGAAUAGAUAAUGAGAUCAUAAUUUAUUAUAUAGUACAAUAAUAGAACGUUUAAUGAUAAUAUUAUACAAAUAAUAAUAUUGACAAAGUAUGAUGAAUCGUAACUAAAGAUUUCCUAA